CAGUGGUUGGGUUAUGUGGACAAAGAGUAAGCUUACAGUGUAGAAGAUCAUCAGUAACUUGGAGAGUGCAGCCAUUCUGUUCAGUGUUCAAUUCUUUGUGUCUCUGGCACUCUUUAGGGAUGGAAAUGGCUCUGUGUUCAACUCAAGACAUGUUGAGUAAUCUUCCAGACAGUCUACUGGAAAACAUCUUUUCAAGUUUGUCAAUUAGAGACGUGGUGAGGACCAGUGUUCUAUCAACUAAGUGGAGAUACAAAUGGAUCUCAAUUCCACAUCUCAUAUUCAAUGAUGAAUGUAUACCAGGUUCAGAUGGUUUACUUGGUCAUGAUAAACUUGUGGAAAUUAUCAAUCAUGUUCUCGUAAUUCAUAGAGGCCCAAUCCU